GACGAACGCUGGCGGCGUGCUUAACACAUGCAAGUCGAACGAAAAGAGGGAAAGAGCUUGCUCUUUCCGGGAUUGAGUGGCAAACGGGUGAGUAACACGUAAACAACCUGCCUUCAGGAUGGGGACAACAGACGGAAACGACUGCUAAUACCGAAUAAGUUCCAAGAGCCGCAUGGCCCAUGGAAGAAAAGGUGGCCUCUACCUGUAAGCUAUCGCCUGAAGAGGGGUUUGCGUCUGAUUAGCUGGUUGGAGGGGUAACGGCCCACCAAGGCGACGAUCAGUAGCCGGUCUGAGAGGAUGAACGGCCACACUGGAACUGAGACACGGUCCAGACUCCUACGGGAGGCAGCAGUGGGGAAUCUUCCGCAAUGGGCGAAAGCCUGACGGAGCAACGCCGCGUGAGUGAUGACGGCCUUCGGGUUGUAAAACUCUGUGAUCCGGGACGAAAAGGCAGAGUGCGAAGAACAAACUGCAUUGACGGUACCGGAAAAGCAAGCCACGGCUAACUACGUG
rnacentral:rRNA from 1 species